ensembl:ncRNA Y32F6B.7 ncRNA
CACAAAAUUACGGAACGGAAAAAUGGAAGGGCUUGGCUAGGAAUUGACGGACGCAAGGCGUUUCAAAGCAAACUGCUUGUGGUGGGUGGCGGUGCGCGGCGCAAAUAUUUAUUUGUACAAUAGCCAAGAAACACGCGCGUGG